AUUGAACGCUGGCGGCAGGCCUAACACAUGCAAGUCGAGCGGAUGAGUGGAGCUUGCUCCAUGAUUCAGCGGCGGACGGGUGAGUAAUGCCUAGGAAUCUGCCUGGUAGUGGGGGACAACGUUUCGAAAGGAACGCUAAUACCGCAUACGUCCUACGGGAGAAAGCAGGGGGACCUUCGGGCCUUGCGCUAUCAGAUGAGCCUAGGUCGGAUUAGCUAGUAGGUGAGGUAAUGGCUCACCUAGGCGACGAUCCGUAACUGGUCUGAGAGGAUGAUCAGUCACACUGGAACUGAGACACGGUCCAGACUCCUACGGGAGGCAGCAGUGGGGAAUAUUGGACAAUGGGCGAAAGCCUGAUCCAGCCAUGCCGCGUGUGUGAAGAAGGUCUUCGGAUUGUAAACUGCUUUGUACGGACGAAACGGUGAGCUCUAAUACAGUUUGCUAAUGACGGUACCGUAAGAAUAAGCACCGGCUAACUACGUAG
rnacentral:rRNA from 1 species